ACCACAGUGUGCGCUUUCAUCACGGGGGGAUGUCGACCCUAAACCAUUCCGCACCGCCUUCUGACGGCAGUCUCUAGCGACAAGAUGAUUUGGAUCAUAUUUCCUCCACACGCCAAAAAAAAAGAACUGUUAGCUGGUCGAACAUAUCUCUAUAGCACUGUGUUACUGUGUAUUUAAUAGACACGCGCUAUUCAGAUGACACAACAUAGGUCUAGGGAACAUAAUCUCCUCACUGAGUGCUCUGUGCUAGGUCGACUUUGAAUGUUUAGCAUGCAGGGCUUCAAGCUAGUCAGAUCCUCGUGACGUCAACCAGUGGCCGACUUUACCUUCAAGGAUCAUUUAGGAGUGUCCGAGAUGAGGAUUAGUGUACAGUCAGUGUUGAAGCUCGCUUCAAACUAUCCCUAUACAUUGAGGAGAGAGAGAGAGUAGACAGAGGGGGCAGACAGAGAGGGCAGACCAUCUCGUGCUACCGUCACGCUUCGAUGAGUGGCAGACGAGGCCAAGCCCACUGCAUUGUCCUCGCGAGUCUCGUCACCUGGAAGCCAUGGCAACACGCACACGUCACUACCGGAAGUAAGGAGGGCGGGAGGAGGAUUCUAUAUUUAAAAAAAAAAAAAAACUACGGAUGCGAUCGACUGAUGCCUUGUCGGGAAGCAGACGUUUCAAGAGCCUGGAACUAGAAGGCUGGUGCAGUCAUGACCACCAGAGCAGCCCUGGACUGACAAGUGGAGUAACAUUGAAGAGAUGGGGAGUGGGUGGUGGACAUCACCAAUCUGGUCAACUCCCUUUGCAGACUUCUAACUGAAAAUAGUACUCACCAAAUUUAUUCAUAACAUUAUUUAUAAAAUUAUUUAAUUAUUAGUAGUUUGCAUAGUUUCACAUUGGUAACUUCAAGAGAUCAGAUAACGUAAUCAAGGGGGAAAAGGUAGAGCUCUAGAAAGUUUUAGGACACAUUUUUAGGGACCAAAUUAGAAAGUGUCUUCAAUUCAACGAGUUUUAAGAAGAUUUUUGAAAAAAAAAGGGGGGGGGGGACAGAAAGAAAAAAAAAGUGUGGGGGGGGAUAGUUGAUAAAAAAAAUAUAAAAAUGAAAAACAAAAAGCACCUCCCCAUGCAUCCAGUCAGAAGCGCCACCUAGGUCUCUAAGUAGCUAUAAGUUAGGUUACAUGCACAAUUUUAGCACUUGAAAAGUUUAUAUUAUUUACUGAUUAGCAUUAGCAUUAGCAUGAAUAGUUAUAAUUGUGUUAUGAAUGAUAUUAUGUACAUAACAUUUCUAAUGAUAAUGACACCUGCAGACGACACACAUUUUGUUGACAUUGACUGUUGUUGUUGUCCACUGGUGUCCAUUCUAUUUCUGUUCCACCUACUAACAAACUUCAUCUGUUCAGUGUCCAUCUGUUUGUAGUUCGAUGUUGUUUCUGUGUCCCUGUAAUGACGUCAUGCUUUGAGUCGUGCUCCCUGGGGGGUCCGGCGCGUGGGUUGGGGUGGAUGCUGGGAGGGCGCCGUUCUUGUCUUUGGUUAUCUAGCUGUAUGAUUGUAGAACAAAUUCAUAAAGCUAGGUUACCAAAGGCAAGACUGGAAGCCGUAAACAUCGCCGGAUGUCGCAGUCUGUUCCAGGACGAUGGCGCCAUCACUCUCUGUGUCCUUUGCUCGUGAGCAUUAUGACAUCACAGCAGGAAAUGACGUAAGUAGUGCACUUUUAUUUCUUGUUACCAUGACUACAAUGUUAAUUCUAUUCUAAACAUGUUAAAAAGAAACUAUUUAAAAUCUUAAAUAAAUAAACUCUAUUGACUGUAGUGUACAGGUUAAAUAAAUGAUACUAUAAAAAAAAACUUUUGUGUUUGUUACCGAUUUUUGACUAUGUGUUAGUGUAAAAGUCUUGGGUUCUAAUCCUUUAAGAAUAAUUCCAAACAGUUGAUGUAUAUAGAAAGAUAUCACUAGAAAGAAAAAUGGCAAACAUUGGCAACACUAUUUAUAAAAAUAUAUUUAAAAAAAAACAACACAGAAACAUUGCCUUCCUAUAAUAGCUUGGUCAACGUGUGAAAUACAAGUGUGUGCAUCUCUUCAGGUGAAAUACAAGUGUGUGCAUCUCUUCAGGUGAAAUACAAGUGUGUGCAUCUCUUCAGGUGAAAUACAAGUGUGUGCAUCUCUUCUGAGAAAUAAACAAAAUAUUUCAAAGUGAAAAUGUUUUUAUAGUCAGUGUAAUACGUGUUGCCUACCUUCAACGUCGUCUACUCCAGUCACAAGUAGAUCUACACUAUCUAUCAGCUGUCAAACGUCUGUGUUCGAUGGCACUUUAGAAUCAAUGAGCUGUUUUCGCAGCUUCACAAAUCAUAACCUCCACAGUUUGUAAUUGACGAAAGAAUACAAAUAAACCGCAAAUGAAAAAAAAAAUGCGUCGACGUCGUCUUUUGAAUGAGUUGAAUAGAAGCUUGCUGUUUUUCUAGGUAGUUCCGCAUCCUCCUUUUGAGGUAAAUAGCUGUUGUGUGUUUUUGUUGGUGCGUGUUUGAAGUGAUACAGAUCAUGAUCAAAAUAUUUGUGCACUACUGGAAGAAUGGAACAUAAAGAGGCUUGAGAGCCGCCAUCUUUGUUCUUUGCUGUGAAAAAGUGGGAUUGUCGUCUGACCCAAAAUGCUAUUUACUUGUUGUCCUGUAAAGAACACGCCAGCAAUAGUUCAAACAAACAAAUUUGAAUAUUUUUGGGUGACAUGUUGGAUUGUAAUGUUCCACACCAUCAGUCCUAAAAGCUUUACAAAGCAGCCUCACAAAAACUCUGUGUAACUGUGUGUGUGUGUGGGGGGGGGAGCGUACAGAUAAGGUGCCUUCGCUCCGGCACUAAAACAUGUUUUGAACUGUUUGUUUGUCUGUUUGUUUGUCUCCCAAGGUUUGAAACAUUCAAGUGAACUUUUAAGGAACUUUUAAGCGUAUUAAAAUAUGGUCUUUUCACAUUGUCAUACACUGUGAUUUAUACUUAACCAUUUUAUAAUAAAUUUAUAACAUUUAAUAAUAAAAUAUGCAACAUAUUUAUUUCAAACA